UUUCCGUAGGUGAACCUGCGGAAGGAUCAUUAUUGAAUAAACCUGCUGUUGUUGUAGCUGGCCCCUUCGGGAGCAUGUGCACACCCGUCGUCUUUAUCUUUCCACCUGUGCACCUUUUGUAGACCUGGAUGUAACACUUUCCGAGACAACUCGAUCGGGAGGAAUGCUGUCAGCUUUCCUUGAAUGUCCAGGCCUAUGUUUUCAGAUAACCCAAAGAAUGUAACAGAAUGUAUUAUUGGGCCUUGUGCCUAUAAACUAUAUACAACUUUCAGCAACGGAUCUCUUGGCUCUC
rnacentral:misc_RNA from 1 species